GGAUUGUGGCUCAGCGGUAGAGUGCUCGCCUAGCAGGCUCGAGGCCCUGGGUUUGAUCCUCAGCACCA
rnacentral:tRNA from 1 species